GGGUGGUUGGCGCAAUGGUAGCGCGUUGGUUUUCGGUCAUCGAAUACACCAAAGGUUGAGGGUUCGAGCCCCUUGCUGCUCG
rfam:Verruconis gallopava strain CBS 43764 unplaced genomic scaffold supercont1.20, whole genome shotgun sequence.